CCUACGGGAGGCAGCAGUGGGGAAUCUUGGACAAUGGGCGCAAGCCUGAUCCAGCCAUGCCGCGUGAGUGAUGAAGGCCUUAGGGUCGUAAAGCUCUUUCGCCAGAGAUGAUAAUGACAGUAUCUGGUAAAGAAACCCCGGCUAACUCCGUGCCAGCAGCCGCGGUAAUACGGAGGGGGUUAGCGUUGUUCGGAAUUACUGGGCGUAAAGCGUACGUAGGCGGAUUAGUCAGUUAGAGGUGAAAUCCCGGGGCUCAACCCCGGAACUGCCUUUAAUACUGCUAGUCUUGAGUUCGAGAGAGGUGAGUGGAAUUCCGAGUGUAGAGGUGAAAUUCGUAGAUAUUCGGAGGAACACCAGUGGCGAAGGCGGCUCACUGGCUCGAUACUGACGCUGAGGUACGAAAGUGUGGGGAGCAAACAGGAUUAGAUACCCUGGUAGUCCACACCGUAAACGAUGAAUGCCAGUCGUCGGGUAGCAUGCUAUUCGGUGACACACCUAACGGAUUAAGCAUUCCGCCUGGGGAGUACGGUCGCAAGAUUAAAACUCAAAGGAAUUGACGG
rnacentral:rRNA from 1 species